UACGUAUGGUGCAAGCGUUACCCGGAUUUACUGGGCGUAAAGGGAGCGCAGGCGGCGCGCCAAGUCUGAUGUGAAACCCCGGGGCUCAACCCCGGGCAUGCAUUGGAAACUGGCGGGCUGGAGUGCCGGAGAGGUAAGCGGAAUUCCUAGUGUAGCGGUGAAAUGCGUAGAUAUUAGGAGGAACACCAGUGGCGAAGGCGGCUUACUGGACGGCAACUGACGCUGAGGCUCGAAAGCGUGGGGAGCAAACAGG
rnacentral:rRNA from 1 species